rnacentral:rRNA from 1 species
AUACGGAGGAUCCGAGCGUUAUCCGGAUUUAUUGGGUUUAAAGGGAGCGCAGGCGGAUCAAUAAGUCAGUUGUGAAAAAUUUCAGCUCAACCUUGAUCUUGCCUUUGAUACUGUACGACUUGAGUGUAUUUGAUGUGACUGGAAUUCGUUGUGUAGCGGUGAAAUGCUUAGAUAUCUCGCAGAACGCCAAUUGCGAAGGCAGGUCACGGGAAUGUUACUGACGCUGAUGCACGAAAGCGUGGGGAUCAAACAGGAUUAGAUACCCUGGUAGUCCACGCAGUAAACGAUGAAUACUCGUUGUUGGGGAGAGAUGGUAAGUGGCUAAGCGAAAGCGAUAAGUAAUCCACCUGGGGAGUACGAUCGCAAGGGUGA